ACCCGUUUCUUACACACAAAUGUGCACCGUGCAGUGCAGCUCGCAGUCAUUCUCUCCGUCGCCAACCUUGCUCUGUUGCUCAAAAACUCUCCCUCAUCAUUCUCAAGUCUCCACUAGAUUUUCGAAAUCAUCUAUAGUUGAACCCCAUGGAACCUAGUGCUGCUAUGCCUUCAUCUGAGUCUGAAUCAAUGCCCAAUGUGAUUCAUUUGGAUAGCACUCUACCUCCAACUUUGGAUAGCUCUCUCCCUACAUCUAGUCCUCAAGUUCUUCCUCCUAUCUCAAAAAGACGGGGUAGAUCUGAAGUAUGGCAACACUUUAUGAGGGUUGAGGAUGUCGAGGAUCCCGAUGAGCCCAAAGCCAAAUGUGAUUAUUGUGGUGGAACUCAACAUAUUUAAUGUUGAGUGCGGCUCUUAAAUAUUAUGCGGCGUUUGAGGUGUUGCAAGAUGAAGACAAUGAGUUUGUCCCAUAUUUAUGUGAGGUUGGACAAGGAAUACCAACUUUACAUGAUUGGGAAACCAUCAAGGUUUUUGUACAAUUUUUGAAGCUUUUUUAUGAUAUGACUUUGUGGGUUUCAGGCUCAGUUUAUGCAACUUCAAAUUUGUUCAUUAAAGAAAUAUUUACAAUCUAUAAGCAUUUGAACAAAUUUUCCAUGAGUGAGAGUAAUGUGCUGAAAACUAUGUCGGAUAGGAUGUUGUUGAAAUAUGACAAGUAUUGGGGGGAUUGUGGGAAAUUGAAUAAAAUGUUGUUUAUUGCAUCUAUGCUUGAUCUGCGCUUCAAGUUGGAAGUUUUGGAGUUUUGUUUUACAAAUAUUCUUGGCCAUGAGCGAGCAUCUGAACUUGUUGAUUGGUUAAGGAGAAUGAUUGAGUGGAUGUAUAAGCAAUAUUCAAAAUCCAAUGUAAGUUCAAGUAGAGGCCAAUCAAGUGUUGGUGAGACCUAAAGCAACACUUCUUAUAAUGAUGAGGAUGAUAUAUUCAAUAUGUUUCAGCAAUAUCAAGCAUCAAAAGGAGUGGUAGAGUCUAAAUCAGAAUUGGAUAAGUAUUUCAUGGAAAGUGUUGAAGGAUCGACACCCGACUUUGAUAUUCUAAUAUGGUGAAAGGUGAACUCAAUCAGAUAUCCGAUUCUUUCCAAUAUAGCUCGAGAUGUGUUAGCUAUUCCAAUAUCUAUUGUUUCUUCUGAGUUGGCAUUUAGCGUUGGAGGUCGGGUCUUAGAUUCAUUUCGUAACUCAUUGGCCCCAACAACAGUUGAAGCUCUUAUUUGCAUACAAAACUGGUUGAUGGCUCUCUCCAUUAAUUAUGACUCACAAGAUGUAAUGGAAGAUGAUAAAAGUUACAAGUUAGAAACCGAGAUAACUUUGAAGAAUAUUUUGAAUGAGGUCGAUUGAAAAUUCUUUGAAGAAUACACAAUUCUUUGGAAGAUGAUGUAAUGGAAGAUGUAAUAGAAGAUGAUGAAAGUUAUAAGUUAGAAACUGAGAUAACUUUGAAGAAUAUUUUGAACAAGGUCGAUUGAAGAUUUUUUGAAGAAUACACAAUUCUUUGGGAGUAGGACCUAUGGAUACAGAAGCCGUUUGUGUAUUUUAAAAAUUAAACAAGACCUAUGGAUUUUUUUUUUUAGUGUGAUUACUAAAAGUACAUUUAUAUAGCAUUAUUGGUUUAUUAAAUGAAUAGUAAACAUGAACAUUAUUGGUU